AAAUUACUCAAACCCCAAAUCACUUCACUCUCACAACGUUCACUCACCUCUUCGUUUCACCUAUUCCUCCUUUCUCCUUUCUCCUUCAUUUCACCUCUUCGUUUCACCUCUUUCUCCUUUCUCCUUCCUUCUCGAUCUGUGUUUGUACCUCCAUUUGCACCUCCAUUUGCACCUCAGUCCACGAUUGCCUCCGUUCACAUACACAUUAGCACCUGCAUUUGCUCGAUUGGGUUCUUCAAGAAGGAGAAAGGUUCGAUUGGGUCAUGUAACCACUCCUUUUCGGUUUCUGUGGACAACGCCAGUUCGACAUCGAAGGGCGAGGAACUCGCACCCAUUGUCUCCCCUACAUUGAAGCUCGAAAUCGAUAGGCAGGUUUACAGGUCCAGUGUUAAAUGAGAAAAUUCUACAAUAUAGCUAUUUGUGACACCAUUAAUUGUGUAAUUAAUUUUGUAGGCUUCUCUUACAGAGGCUCUUGUUCCCUUUAUAUUUGCCAAAGAAUAUAAUCUCCAUGCAGACAUACUCAGCACAACAUGAGUGUAUGAAUUUUUUUAUUAUUAAAAAUAUAUUAUUCAUCCAUGGGUUACUGAAUAAUUUUUCUUGUGUGAACACUUAAUUUGCAACUUGUGUUUUACACACUUUAAUUCAAAUUAUCUACUUAUCCUCUUAUAUUUUGUGUGUCUAUUUGUUGCUCAAGAGGAAGAAAGAAAAUUGAAGCCUGUGAUUGCAUUUGAUUGUGCUGAAAUUAGAGAACGUGACUGGUGCAAUGUGAUUACUUGUCAUAUGGAUACUGCCAAGGCAUAUGUUUGGAGACUUCAAAACUUUGUUCUUGGUGAGCACAUAUUGAAUCCAUGUCUUGAAAAUCCAACACCUGUAAAGGCACCAGAUAUUGGGAGUGGUGUGUCAUCUCCGCAUGAAAUACUAGGAUCAAGUGAUGGAAGCAAAACACCUUAGACUUAGGACUUUUAAUGUUGUCUUUUUUUCUUAGAUGCUUGAAUAUUUUGGUACUCUUAAUGUUGUCUUUUUUUUUCAAAUGCUUGAAUUGGUACUUU